UACGUAGGGGGCAAGCGUUGUCCGGAUUUAUUGGGCGUAAAGAGCGUGUAGGCGGUUAGGUAGGUCCGUUGUGAAAACUCGAGGCUCAACCUCGAGACGCCGAUGGAAACCAUCUGACUAGAGUCCGGAAGAGGAGAGUGGAAUUCCUGGUGUAGCGGUGAAAUGCGCAGAUAUCAGGAAGAACACGCGUGGCGAAGGCGGCUCUCUGGGACGGUACUGACGCUGAGACGCGAAAGCGUUGGGAGCGAACAGG
rnacentral:rRNA from 1 species